rnacentral:lncRNA from 8 species
AUGGUAUCUAUCUACAGACAAUGUAACUGUACUAGUCCGGUUUCUUGGCACCAUAAAUUUACAUCAUUUUUAAAAAUAAAUCUUCAGUGUUUGUCUAAUAUAACAAUACUCAGCGUGGCAUAUAUACUUUUAGAUCAUUCUCCGGUUUUUAAGAAAUCCUGGUUGGAAAAAUGUACAGAAUUCUGCAACCCUAACAAAGAGCCUAACACACCCACUGUCUUGAGCACUGAUCCUAGACCAGUCCGAACGCAUCUUCACACUGUCCACCACGGUUUCUAACUUGCUGCAAUAAGAACUGAUUCUAGACCAGGCUACUAUUACAGACAGACAGAAGUAAACAUGUAAACACAAAUAGAAAGAAGGACAACAAGGAAAAAUACAAUCAUUCUGUACAUGUCUGUACAUGGCUGCUAUACAAAACAGUUCACCCUGUUUGUUUGUGAUUACACUCAAUUGCUAUAAUACAGUAGAUACCGGAUCAUAAUAAUUUUGUCAACAACAACAAAGACACUGUGUCCCACAUUGCACCCUACUCUCUAUAUAGUGCACUACGUUUGACCAGGUCACUAUGGGCCCUGGUCAAAAGCAGUGCACUAGAUAGGUAAUAAUGUGCCAUUUGGGACAAAAACAUGGAGAAGAAGAAAAUAUUUAUAACUCUUCAUAAAUCAAUGCGAUUAGCAUUAAGACUUGGAGCCUCAAACCUGCCCACUCCUAACUCCUCCCAGCAACCUCACACCACCUUACUGAGACCCCACAGCCCCAUAUGAAGAUCAAAGACAGUAUUAACAUGAAGGGAGAUCAGUGUGAGAGAUAGAGAAUGUGACUUGACUUGCCUAUGACUUGAGACCUGGUUAUCACGGACGCCCACCCACAUGUUCUCUCACACACUGAUCUCCCUUCAUGUUAAUACUGACCAGAGACCUCAAUAUUAAAAGCAAUGACCAUCUGUUCUCAGUGAAGGGCAUUGGGGUUAGACAAAUAAUUUCAACAUUACAUCAAUCAUUAUUACUUUAGGCUGGCUGGCUACUGAAGACAUGUAGUAUGUGCUUUCUAUCAAAUAUAGGCUGGUUUAUAAGUAUAUGACACAACACAGAGAUCACAUAUUUCCCUGUUUUUGUUUUUAAAACAUUAUUGAUCAAAAUACCAUCACAUACGUACAGUACUGCAUUAUAUAUUGGAGCAACAGUAAGUAAGCAUUCUGUUUUUAGACCAUUAGAGAGAUUCUGACAAAAUUUGAAACACAGCAAGCGCUUCCCCAAAAUGUCACCCUAUUCCUACAUAGUGCACUAUAUAAUAUAUAGGGUGCCAUUUGGGACACAAACACAGCGAACAACCACCAGCAGUAUUGAUUGAUCAGUCCCUCUAGGAACAACCCUUGGCUAGAGGUGGUUUAGUGGAUUCCACAUACAGUAAUUACUGGAUCUACUCUCUGUUACGCCUCAGCACUGAGGACAGAAAUAAAGAAAGCAGACCUGGGUUUCAAAUACUUGGAAAAUCAAUUGAAAUACCCUAUCUGUUUGAAAUUUCCUGGCUUAAUAAACCAAUAGAAAAGUCCCAAAACAUCAUACCCCACCCAUCUGGCACGCCAGGCAGACUUUCAAAGUAUUUGAAAAGAUUCAAAUUUUUGUAUUUGAUCCCAGGUCUACCAAGAGGUUGCAGCUCCAGCUGGAGAUACUGUAUGUGCUCAGUACUGACACCACCAGUCCCCAGGAGCACAGGGGUCCCCAAAUUAGGUCCCCGGGUCCAUAGAUCCACGGGGUACCUCAAAUUUCCAUGAGAAUUCCAUGAGGCUGAGGCCCUCCUUCUGAAGGGGGGGGGGCAGUGUAAUUGGGUUUGGAGAGUAGAGGGGUGCAUCAAGUUGACGGAAAGGGGUGUGUUUUUUGUGUCUUCAGAAUAUCUCCAAAUCAAUAAUAGGAGCAAAUGACUUUCAGUCCCCAGUUUAUUUGUAGCAACCCUCUCUCUCUCUGUCUGUUUGUUGUUUUCUUGGCCAUCUAUGAUAGGUAUAAAAUCCUUUAUCCUCAUCAUAAUCCAGGCUGAGGAGGGUGGUAGAGCUACAGCAGGGGGGAGUGGGAGGGAAUAUG